rnacentral:lncRNA from 1 species
AUAAAUAAUGUAUCUCUGGUAUCAAGAUAUGGUUUGACACAUAAUAUAAAUAAUGUAUCUCUGGUAUAAAGAUAUGGUUUGACACACAAUAUAAAUAAUGUAUCUCUUGUCUCAAGAUAUGGUUUGAUGCAUGUUAUAAAUAAUGUAUCUCUGGUAUCAAGAUAUGGUCUGACACACGGUAUAAAUAAUGUAUCUCUUGUAUCAAGAUAUGGUUUGACACACGGUACAAAUACUAAAUGUAUCUCUGGUAUCAAGAUAUGGUUUGACACACGGUAUAAAUAAUGUAUCUCUGGUAUCAAGAUAUGGUUUGACACACGGUAUAAAUAAUGUAUCUCUUGUAUCAAGAUAUGGUUUGAUACAUGUUAUAAAUAAUGUAUCUCUUGUAUCAAGAUAUGGUUUGAUGCAUGUUAUAAAUAAUGUAUCUCUGGUAUCAAGAUAUGGUCUGACACACGGUAUAAAUAAUGUAUCUCUGGUAUCAAGAUAUGGUCUGACACACGGUAUAAAUAAUGUAUAUCUUGUAUCAAGAUAUGGUCUGACACACGGUAUAAAUAAUGUAUCUCUGGUAUCAAGAUAUGGUUUGAUACAUGUUAUAAAUAAUGUA